rnacentral:rRNA from 1 species
GAUCCAGCCAUGCCGCGUGUGUGAAGAAGGCCUUUUGGUUGUAAAGCACUUUAAGCGAGGAGGAGGCUACUUGGAUUAAUACUCUAGGAUAGUGGACGUUACUCGCAGAAUAAGCACCGGCUAACUCUGUGCCAGCAGCCGCGGUAAU